CAGUCGAGCGACAGAUAAGGAGCUUGCUCCUUUGACGUUAGCGGCGGACGGGUGAGUAACACGUGGAUAACCUACCUAUAAGACUGGGAUAACUUCGGGAAACCGGAGCUAAUACCGGAUAACAUAUUGAACCGCAUGGUUCAAUAGUGAAAGGCGGCUUUGCUGUCACUUAUAGAUGGAUCCGCGCCGUAUUAGCUAGUUGGUAAGGUAACGGCUUACCAAGGCAACGAUACGUAGCCGACCUGAGAGGGUGAUCGGCCACACUGGAACUGAGACACGGUCCAGACUCCUACGGGAGGCAGCAGUAGGGAAUCUUCCGCAAUGGGCGAAAGCCUGACGGAGCAACGCCGCGUGAGUGAUGAAGGUCUUCGGAUCGUAAAACUCUGUUAUCAGGGAAGAACAAAUGUGUAAGUAACUGUGCACAUCUUGACGGUACCUGAUCAGAAAGCCACGGCUAACUACGUGCCAGCAGCCGCGGUAAUACGUAGGUGGCAAGCGUUAUCCGGAAUUAUUGGGCGUAAAGCGCGCGUAGGCGGUUUUUUAAGUCUGAUGUGAAAGCCCACGGCUCAACCGUGGAGGGUCAUUGGAAACUGGAAAACUUGAGUGCAGAAGAGGAAAGUGGAAUUCCAUGUGUAGCGGUGAAAUGCGCAGAGAUAUGGAGGAACACCAGUGGCGAAGGCGACUUUCUGGUCUGUAACUGACGCUGAUGUGCGAAAGCGUGGGGAUCAAACAGGAUUAGAUACCCUGGUAGUCCACGCCGUAAACGAUGAGUGCUAAGUGUUAGGGGGUUUCCGCCCCUUAGUGCUGCAGCUAACGCAUUAAGCACUCCGCCUGGGGAGUACGACCGCAAGGUUGAAACUCAAAGGAAUUGACGGGGACCCGCACAAGCGGUGGAGCAUGUGGUUUAAUUCGAAGCAACGCGAAGAACCUUACCAAAUCUUGACAUCCUUUGACCGCUCUAGAGAUAGAGUCUUCCCCUUCGGGGGACAAAGUGACAGGUGGUGCAUGGUUGUCGUCAGCUCGUGUCGUGAGAUGUUGGGUUAAGUCCCGCAACGAGCGCAACCCUUAAGCUUAGUUGCCAUCAUUAAGUUGGGCACUCUAAGUUGACUGCCGGUGACAAACCGGAGGAAAGGGGGGGGAUGACGUCAAAUCAUCAU
rnacentral:rRNA from 1 species